rnacentral:rRNA from 1 species
UACGUAGGGGGCGAGCGUUGUCCGGAUUUAUUGGGCGUAAAGAGCUCGUAGGCGGUUCGAUAAGUCGGACGUGAAAUCUCCACGCUCAACGUGGAGGGGCCGUUCGAUACUGUCGUGACUCGAGUCCGGUAGGGGAGUGUGGAAUUCCCGGUGUAGCGGUGAAAUGCGCAGAGAUCGGGAGGAACACCCGUAGCGAAGGGCGGCCGACCUGGACCACACCGUGACGCUGACGG